CAUUUGUUUGGGCAAGUGCUUUAAAUUUCAUUAGGAUAAUGUCCUCAUUUGAACAACACCAUGGGUACCUUAUCAAUAAUUUUUAUCUCCUUUAUUGAAAUAAAUACCCGGAAAACAUAGACAGAUCGUAUUACAGGUCUGUUAUCGUUAGGAGAGUUAGAGUCAGAAUCAAAAGCUAUUUAUUAAUAGUUGUUUACUAUGUA